rnacentral:lncRNA from 1 species
UCGAAUUAAAAAACAUCAAAUUCAGUCUUUCAAUGCCGUCGUUUUUCAACGUUUCAUUUUUCCUUGUAGAAAACGUCGUAAUUUGACGUUACGUUUAGUGACCCCAGUAUCGUGCGUAACGUCUGUUAUAUUGGAAGAAGAAUCAGAAAAUAUAUUUUUAUUAUCAUGUUACUGUAUGGAAAAGGGGCAACAUUCCUAACAUUAUAUCAGGAGAAUAAAUCAUUCUUCAAUUUACUAUAGUAGUCUAGUUACAAUCGUUUAAAAAAUAUUGAUUUAUUAAAUAUUCAAGAUGUUGCGCAGCAAAUCAUUUUAUUGUCAAGUUUUAUACCGGAAAUCAAUUCAUUUCUAUUAGCUACACAUGUUGUACAAAUUAAUUUACUAACAGGGAUAUGUCGUAAACAAAUAUUUAGAUAAGUGUUGAAAGUGCAUGAAUAAUCCGAUGACACGUAUAUACGUAUAUUGUGACAUUACAACAACGCAUAUCGCAUUAUACUAUAUUAUCUCAACUCUUCGGCUUUGAAUGUCUUGAUCUCUAAGUUCAUGUUUACAAAAUUGUAUAUAGAACUAGCUUGAUAAAAAAACUGAAACUUAAAAAAUCCUUAUACGUUUUCUAUAGGUUCAAUAGAAAAUGCACCGAAUCUUGAUUUGCUAUAUUUUUGCGACUAGAUCUUGUAGUACUAUUUAGCAUACUAGCUAGUUGCAUUAGCUGCAAGUUUCAUAUCCACCAACUUGUUUUAAUUUUGAAAAUACUCUUCCGAAUUUCAAAAGGUUUAAUCAUUUUAGAAUCCUCAUGUUAAUAAUUGGUUUUUAUGCCCUAUUUAUGGGCAUUAUGUUUUCUGGUCUGUGCGUCCGUCUGUUCGUUCGUUGUACCGUGCGUGCGUCCGUCCGUCUGUCCCGCUUCAGGUUAAAGUUUUUGGUCGAGGUAGUUUUUUAUGAAGUUAAAGUCCAAUCAAAAUGAAACUUAGUACACAUGUUACUUUUGAUAUAAUAUUUCUAAAUGUAAUGCCAAAUUAGAGAUUUCCCCCCAUGUUCACGGUCCACUGAACAUAAAAAAAUAUAGUGUGGAUUGGGCAUCCGUGUACUUUGAACACGUUUUAAUUUCAUUUUACUUUAGGAAUUACUACACAACGUAAAGGAGAAUAAAGUUCAAACAUGCUAAGUAUUGUAUUUUGUUUAACUGAUUUCAGUUAAGAUAGAUUGUAGUUUUGGCAUAUUUAGACCAGAAAAUAUUGUUUUUCUCAUUUCUUACUUAUAUGAUAUUACUUAACAAUGUUAC